GGUAGAGUUUGAUCCUGGCUCAGAGGAUACGCUGGCGGCGUGCUUAACACAUGCAAGUCGAGCGAGAAAGGGAACUUCGGUUCCUGAGUAAAGCGGCGGACGGGUGCGUAACACGUGGGUAAUCUGCCCUUGAGGCGGGGAUAACCCGGGGAAACCUGGGCUAAUACCGGAUAAGACCACGAGAGGCAACUUUCGAGGUUAAAAGGAGCUUCCUUAUGGGAGCGCUUCCUCGAGGAUGAGCCCGCGGCCUAUCAGCUUGUUGGUGGGGUAACGGCCUACCAAGGCAAAGACGGGUAGCUGGUCUGAGAGGAUGAUCAGCCACACGGGGACUGAGACACGGCCCCGACUCCUACGGGAGGCAGCAGUGGGGAAUAUUGGGCAAUGAGGGAAACCUUGACCCAGCGACGCCGCGUGGGUGAUGAAGGCUUUCGGGUCGUAAAGCCCUGUCGGGAGGAAAGAACGUUCCCGUGGUAAAUACCCACGGGAAGUGACGGUACCUCCAAAGGAAGCACCGGCCAACUCCGUGCCAGCAGCCGCGGUAAGACGGAGGGUGCAAGCGUUGCUCGGAAUUACUGGGCGUAAAGGGUGCGUAGGCGGCCUUUCAAGUCUGGCGUGAAAGCCCAGGGCUCACCCCUGGAAGUGCGCUAGAAACUGGAAGGCUUGAGUAUCGGAUGGGAGAGUGGAAUUCCUGGUGUAGCGGUGAAAUGCGUAGAUAUCAGGAGGAAUACCGGUGGCGAAGGCGACUCUCUGGACGAUAACUGACGCUGAGGCACGAAAGCGUGGGGAGCAAACAGGAUUAGAUACCCUGGUAGUCCACGCCGUAAACGAUGGGCACUAGGUGUCGGGGGUAUCCACUCCUCCGGUGCCGCCGCUAACGCAUUAAGUGUCCCGCCUGGGAAGUACGGUCGCAAGAUUAAAACUCAAAGGAAUUGACGGGGGCCCGCACAAGCGGUGGAGCAUGUGGUUCAAUUCGAUGCAACGCGAAAAACCUUACCUGGGUUUGACAUCUGGCGAACCCUCUAGAAAUAGAGGAGUGCCCGUAAGGGAACGCCAAGACAGGUGCUGCAUGGCUGUCGUCAGCUCGUGUCGUGAGAUGUUGGGUUAAGUCCCGCAACGAGCGCAACCCUUGUGUCCUGUUGCCACUCGAACGAGAGUUCGAAGCACUCUGGACAGACUGCCCCGCUUAAACGGGGAGGAAGGUGGGGAUGACGUCAAGUCAGUAUGGCCCUUACGGCCAGGGCUGCACACGUACUACAAUGCCCGGCACAGAGGGAAGCAAUACCGUGAGGUGGAGCGAAUCCCAUAAAACCGGGCCCAGUUCGGAUUGUAGUCUGCAACUCGACUACAUGAAGCCGGAAUCGCUAGUAAUGGCGCAUCAGCUACGGCGCCGUGAAUACGUUCCCAGGCCUUGUACACACCGCCCGUCACAUCAUGAAAGCCGGUUGUACCCGAAGUCGCCGAGCCAACCCGCAAGGGGCAGGCGCCGAAGGUAUGGCUGGUGAUUGGGAUGAAGUCGUAACAAGGUAACC
rnacentral:rRNA from 1 species